rnacentral:rRNA from 1 species
CAUUGACAACUUACACUAUUUCAUCCGCCCGGGUACUACGAGCCGCAGCUUAAAACCCAAAGGACUUGGCGGUGCCCCAAACCCACCUAGAGGAGCCUGUUCUAUAAUCGAUACCCCCCGCUUAACCUCACCACCCCUCGCCAGCAGCCUAUAUACCACCGUCGCCAGCCCACCUCGUGAGAGAAAACAAGUAGGCAUAAUGGUAACCACCAAAACGUCAGGUCAAGGUGUAGCCUAUGGGGCGGAAAGCAAUGGGCUACACUUUCUACACAGAAAACUACGGAGGACUAUUAUGAAACCUAGUCUGAAGGCGGAUUUAGUAGUAAAAAGAUUCAAGAGUGUUCUUUUUAAUCUGGCCCUGGGGCGCGCA